rnacentral:lncRNA from 1 species
CGUCCAAGGCCCAAGUGGCUGUGACAACCUGAGAUCUCCAGGGUUGCUGGGAGCCUCCAGCUCAUCGACCCCUGGAAGUUCCAGCGCAUGAAGAAGGUGGGCACAGCUCAGACCAAGAUCCAGCUCCUGCUGCUCGGGGACCUGUUGGAACAGCUCGAUCAUGGCCGUGCUGAGCUGGACGCCCUGCUCCGGUCGCCGGACCCACGGCCCUUCCUGGCCGACUGGGCGCUGGUGGAGCGGCGGCUGGCGGACGUGUCGGCCGUCAUGGACAGCUUCCUGACCAUGAUGGUGCCGGGGCGGCUGCACGUCAAGCACCGCCUGGUGUCUGAUGUCAGUGCCACCAAGAUCCCGCACAUCUGGCUCAUGCUGAGCACCAAGAUGCCUGUCGUGUUUGACCGAAAGGCGUCGGCAGCUCACCAGGACUGGGCCCGGCUGCGCUGGUUCGUCACCAUCCAGCCGGCCACGUCGGAGCAGUAUGAGUUGCGCUUCAGGCUGCUGGACCCGCGGACACAGCAGGAGUGCGCCCAGUGUGGCGUCAUCCCCGUGGCUGCCUGCACCUUCGACGUCCGAAACCUGCUGCCCAACCGAUCCUAUAAGUUCACCAUCAAGAGGGCCGAGACCUCCACGCUGGUGUACGAGCCCUGGAGGGACAGCCUCACACUGCACACCAAGCCGGAGCCCCUGGAGGGGCCCGCCCUCAGCCACUCUGUCUGAGAGAUGAUUUUCUAAUAUUUAUCCACUAAUAAAGAAGAGUGUAAAUGCACAUACAGAAUUAAAGAAGCAAACCUACUUAUGUUUUAAAGGCAGCAGCCACCGGUGUUUUUCCUGGCUCAAAACAUGCCAAGCCCCAGGCCUUCUGCUCCUGCUCUUUCCCAGGGGGAGCCACAGGCCGGACCUCCCAAGACAGCUGAGCCUGGAGCAAGAAGUACCAGCCCCUGACACCUACGGGUCCAAUGAUGACGACGAAAGCUGCUCCACAGGGCCUCUGCGGUCCUAGCCCCCGCCCCUCCUCGCCACCCCCAUCACCGUGACCGGGCUCCGGCCUUCCUUACCCACCUCCCUGGCUUGGGGGGCUCCCUCAGGGAAUGACACUCCUAGGCCGUGAUGUCUCCCACCAUCCCCUGCCCAGCCUCUAGUGCUCAUCAGCACGCCCGCCCGAGGAGGCAGCAGCACCACCGGGGAUCCCUGGCUGUGAGCAGCUCAGCCGUGCCCCUCCGUGCCCCGCCCCACCUUUUGUUCCUCAAGGGCCUUCCCGGCCCUGAGCUCCCUCUCUCCUCCAGGAUCAGCUGCUUUUGCUAGGCGUCCAGCCCCUGCGUCCCCUCACCGCUCACCUUCAGGGCCGCAGCUGCCCCUUCCUCCCAGAAGCCUUCCCUGGCUGCAGGCUGGUGAGGUCCCCAAGUCCCCCUUCCUAGAGGCGCCUUCUCAUCCUCUCUGCAGGCGCUUCUCAAGCUAUUGCAGAACUACUCUUAUGAUGGCCCAAGAAUAGACAUGGUCUUCAGGGCAGGGCCCGUGCAGCACACCAAGGGGGCCACAGUCCUGGAGACUCCAUGCUCCGCCCCUCCCUCCACAGACGCCCAGAACCUCUUUUCCCACAGUGACCAUAGCCCCCGCGACCAUCUGACCCCCGAGCUGGCUCUGGGAGGCCACAGGAGCCCCUGUGGACGCAGCCACAAAUGGGCCAGGUGUGGAGGGACCCCAGUCCACAGCGGCCAGGGGGUCCUGGGGAGCAGCUUUAAAAGUGGGACCAGCAGGACAGUCAAGCCUGGUGGCCUCAGGGACUUUGGACCUGGCCAGCCUGGUGACACCGGAGCAGCUCUGGAGCUGUGGCCUGUCCCCACCACA